GACACCCCAGACCGGAAACUCUGGACAGGACCCUGACAGCCUGAGCACCGAGUGGGGCCCAGGAAACUGGAAUCCAGACUUAACGCCAAUCACUUGUUCCAGCAAACUGAGCCAUCUCUAUCAGGGUAACCCACAAAUGCAGUUUUAGGAUUGCACUGGAUAACAAACUGUCUGUAGAGGGUAUGAAAUCAGACCACAAUUUCACAAUCUCAUCCAGCCCUUUAUGUGUAUUUGAAGAGUCCUCAUCUUAAGAUGUGACAAAGUAGCACGUGCAGAAGAAUGAAAGUAUGUUCCUUUCUUUUCUCAAAGGAUGCCUUCAAAAGACAGGGUCUUACUACAUAACCUUGGCUGUCUUAAACCUCACUACGUAGACCAUUGAUCAUAGAGACCCACGUGCCUCUGCCUCCCAACUGAGUGCUGGGAUCAAAGGUGACUUCCCAGCAUCUAUCUGCCACGGUCAUAGCCACAAAAUCCAGUUCUGACUAAUGGAGUGAGUGAGGAAGUUUCUCAGUUUGGAUUCUACAAAAGGCUUUGCAGCUGUCACAUUAUCUUUGGCCAACCUUUUCCCUUCUUGGCCUGACACACUAGCAAAUGUGCAGAAAAGCAUACGCCAAUAACAGUUGUGGGGAAGAGGACCAGGAGACACAGACAAUGGAGUAGGAUGCUGAAAAGAUCAUGUCUGCAAAGGUUUAAUAAACCUUCGUGCCAUCCCUGCUUGGUCUAUCCUCGGGCCUCCCAGUAUCCACAAGAAACAGAAUUAUUUCUUUAAGGAUGAAGCUUGAGAGAAAUGGGGAUUUAGCAUGCCUUCUGCACAUAAGCAUCAGCAUCUGGAUUUCCCUGGGUCAGAAGACUAGAGGAAGCUAUGCUCUUCCUUCCCUGAUGAUUCAGUAGUCUCUGCUCUGACCGAUGAGGAGAUGAGUCAGCAUAAAAGGUUGGAUGGCACAUUGGGAAUUCAGUUAGAAAUUUCACUGCUCUAUCAAUGACUGGAGAAGGGCCUGUACAUCAGCUUUCUCAUGUGCCUGGAAGCCCUCUGGAUCUGGAGUUUUAUUUGGAGGAUGUUUGAAAUUACUCUUCAGCUUCUCUUAAAGAUGGCAGGUUAUAAAGUUUUACACAUCUGCUUUAGUCAGUUUGAUCCCUUACAUUUCCCCCGAAAUUUAACCAUUUCACAACACAAUUCAAAUCAAUCGAGGUAAACUUGUUUGUGAUAUUGUCCUGGCAGCUCGAUAGCUACAGGCUAGCGCUCUCUCUCUCUCUCUCUCUCUCUCUCUCUCUCUCUCUCUCUCUCUCUCUCUCUCUCUCUCUCCCUUAGUGUUUCUGUUCUUGCUACCUGUGCUCCCCCUCUUCUUCUCUAGCUCCAUCCCAAUGAGUGUUGAUGCCAACAAAGGCCCCUUUCAAAAGAAAUAGGCAUCCCUAGCUAUACUAUUUCAGGCAAUUAUUGUCUUGUUUUAAUUUCUUUAUUGUUUCAGAGUCUUACUCUGCAGCCCUGGGUAACUGGGCGUUCACUAUAAACUGGGCUAGCCUAGAACUUGCCUCUGCUUCCCAAGUCCUGAGAUUAAACACAUGCACCACCACUCCUGGCCUGUUUUUUUAAAUUUUUAAAAUGCCUCCAGCUCUAUGUUCGUUGCUUCUCCAUCCAAAAUUACUUGGGCGUAAACUGUUAUCCAAUUCUGAGUGUUCAGCUGAAAUGUCUAGUUUGUAGUUUUUGGAAACCUGCUUCAUGGGGGCUUAAUGCUAUAAAUUUCUAAGUGUGGCUUUAGUUGCAUCCCAUAUAGAAAUGUACUUAUUUAUUUUCUAAUUUUGGAAUUCUUUUUCUCUGAUAUAUGAGUUAUCCAUAACUACAUUUUUUCUAAACUUCCAGACAUAUGGGAACUUUGCAUUAUAUUUUGGCAUUGCUUUCUAGCUUAAUUGUACCAUAGUAAAUAUAAUUUAUAUGUAUAAAUUAUAUAUAUAAAUUAUAUAUAAAAAUUAUAUAUAUAUAUGCACACACAUACAUCAAGACGUCUGUCUUAAACUCUCCAAGGCUUGCUGGGGAAAACUGAAUUAAUUUCCCAACAUGCCCCACUCUUUGUAUUUCCUUCUGCAGUAGAAUUGGCUAUAAUCAUCCUUCCUGUCCCGCUGAUGUCAUUUUGAAAUCACAAUGUCUGGUUUAUCCAAUAAAUUGCAAGUAGAGAGAGUUCAGAACUCCCGCUGUCCACCCUUGUCCCAGACAGAGACAGCUUUGUCAUUCUAAAUCAAAUCAUGGAAUGAUGAACAUGUGUCGAUGGAUCUCAGUGGCCCCUGGGCUCAUGUCAUUAGAGCAUAGUUCAGACUCUGCAGUGGGUGCUGGGGACUGAACUCAGGUCCUCUGAAAGAGCACCAAACUCUCUUAACCACUGAUUCAUCUCUCCAGCCACUUGGAUAUUUUUUUAAUCCAUAUAAAACUGUCAAAAGCCAGGUGGUGGUGGCACAUGUCUUUAAUCCCAUCACUCAGGAGGCAGAGGCAGGCAGAUCUCUGUGAGUUUGAGGCCAGCCUGGUCUACAGAGCAAGUGCCAGGAUAGGCUCCAAAGCUACAGAGAAACCCUGUCUAGAAAAAAAAAAACUGUCAAUCAGCCCAAUUUAUUUCUCUUUCAUUUCCUCUGCCCCCAUUUUAUUUUUAUCAAGUUCCAAAUUCCAAAUUCCACUUAUACUUGUUGGUAUAAGUGCUACUUCAUAAUCUCCUUUACAAUUUCCCUUACCUUUUACCUUUCUGUGCUGUGGUCUGGAGUUAAUUGUUUUUUUAUUAUUCCCUGCUGACUUGAGUCUUCUCAAAACCACCACCUCAUAAGUCUUAAUGUUUUAUUUAUUACAAGUUACCUGUCAUGACAACCCCAAUAUUUGGAACCCCUAAGUAGUCUCAUUUUUUCCUUUGGCUUUCAUGCUCAGGAGACAUGAUAUACUGCAUGUUUCAACCAAAUAGAUUAAUCCUGUUUGUAUUGUUUUUACAAAAUUGCAUGGAGAAAUAAAUCCAGGUCCUCGUGGAUGUUUGCUGUUUGGCUUCUAGGGUACCCUGAGACUCUGGGACCCUGAGGUUUAAUGUUAAUCAGUCACUUGAAGUGUCAUUUCCACAAAGGAUUUCUCUUCACUUCUAGCCCUAAAGGGCCUCAACUCAAAUCUCAAGCUGCUCAUAGCAUCUUUCUUCAUAUCAGAUCCUGGAUGACAGUCUGUCCUGCCCAGUGCCAAGUUUGUCAAGAGCAGCACCAAGGAUCUUCCUGUUCCAUUAUCUUCUUUAUGAGUUCUCAUUUAUCCUGUGGAGAAAAAAAAAAUAAUGGCUGAGCCAAUGGGUUAAUAAAAUGCCUUAGGCAGUCAACUUAAAAGCAGCAUUUAUUUGCAUUCUCAUCUCAGAGGCUUCAUUCCACAUUGCUUAGUCCUGUUUUAG
rnacentral:lncRNA from 1 species